rnacentral:rRNA from 1 species
GUUACGCUGGCGGCGUGCCUAAUACAUGCAAGUCGAGCGGACAGAUGGGAGCUUGCUCCCUGAUGUUAGCGGCGGACGGGUGAGUAACACGUGGGUAACCUGCCUGUAAGACUGGGAUAACUCCGGGAAACCGGGGCUAAUACCGGAUGCUUGAUUGAACCGCAUGGUUCAAUUAUAAAAGGUGGCUUUUAGCUACCACUUACAGAUGGACCCGCGGCGCAUUAGCUAGUUGGUGAGGUAACGGCUCACCAAGGCAACGAUGCGUAGCCGACCUGAGAGGGUGAUCGGCCACACUGGGACUGAGACACGGCCCAGACUCCUACGGGAGGCAGCAGUAGGGAAUCUUCCGCAAUGGACGAAAGUCUGACGGAGCAACGCCGCGUGAGUGAUGAAGGUUUUCGGAUCGUAAAACUCUGUUGUUAGGGAAGAACAAGUACCGUUCGAAUAGGGCGGUACCUUGACGGUACCUAACCAGAAAGCCACGGUUAACUACGUGCCAGCAGCCGCGGUAAUACGUAGG